rnacentral:rRNA from 1 species
AUCGAACGCUGGCGGCAGGCCUAACACAUGCAAGUCGAACGAGUGGCGGACGGGUGAGUACUGUCUGGAAAACUGCCUGAUGGAGGGGGAUAACUAGUGGAAACGGUAGCUACUACCGCUAACCACCGGAUGUGCCCAGAUGGGAUUAGCUAGUGGGGGGGGUAAAGGCUCACCUAGGCGACGAUCCCUAGCGGGGCUGAGAGGAUGACCAGCCACACUGGAACUGAGACACGGUCCAGACUCCUACGUGAGGCAGCAGUGGGGAAUAUUGGACAAUGGGCGCAAGUCUGAUGCAGCCAUGCCGCGUGUAUGAAGAAGGCCUUCGGGUUGUAAAGUACUUUCAGCGGGGAGGCGUUACCCGCAGAAGAAGCACCGGCUAACUCCGUGCCAGCCGCCGCGGUAAUAC